rnacentral:rRNA from 1 species
AUGUCUAACCUGAUGGCCGCCGGCUUUUGGGUGGCUGUAGGGGCGGCGGCGAUACUCGGGAAGCACAGGUCGCCGGCAAGAAUUCAGCAGGAACGGCUUCUAGACCGGGACCUAGAAUCAAAGAAGAAGGAACUGCAUGAACUAAUCCGUGGGCCAAGGACAGACAUGGGGCAGGGACGAUCCUCGAGAAGCAGAGGUCGUCGACCCAGUAAUCUGGAACGGAUUAAGCUGCAGGCAGAUUUGAAGUUGAAACAGUUAUUUGAACAACUUCGCCAAGCAGAGGCCAACCGGGUGCUCAAGGAACCGGCAACUCACUGGCCGUUCGAUUAA